rnacentral:misc_RNA from 1 species
ACACCUCAACACAGACAGGUUUUUACAACCUGUUCUGAUGGUUGGAUGUUGAAGGCUUGCUGGUGUUGUUUCACCAGCUCCUUUUAAAUGCAUUAGCAGAUCCGACAGAGACCUGGCUUCAGCCUGAUAAAUCUCUUAUCUAUGUUGCUGUCGCUAGUCAAUUCUUGUUGUGAUCAGCUUCCAAUUGUCCAUAGGACUGUCUCCUUGGAGGCAUACAUUUUGAC